GGAUGUGAGAGGAACCUGGCUGCUGUGUCUAUCGCCCCAUUGACCACCAGAUUGAUUGGCCAGAUUCAGCCAAUCUAACUGACUAGUUGAGUGUCUCCUUCCUCCUUCAGUGUUCAGUACAUACCCCUCCUGACGCUGUGCACUAGGUUGAGGAGGAUGACCUUUCCAAUAGACAAGAACCACACUCAGUUGAAGGCGAUGACCUUCCCUGACAGAGGAAGACCAGUCUUCCAUCAGGGUAUAUGAUUAGCUAUGCUCCUCUGAUAGAACCUCCAAACAAGUUCUCAAGAUUAACUUCAAAUGUCACCAUAACCACAAAGCUUAACAAGGAAUAUAUUUGGGGCAUUGUUUCGUUUAU
rnacentral:snRNA from 1 species